rnacentral:rRNA from 1 species
AUUGAACGCUGGCGGCAGGCCUAACACAUGCAAGUCGAGCGGAUGAGAGGAGCUUGCUCCUUGAUUUAGCGGCGGACGGGUGAGUAAUGCCUAGGAAUCUGCCUGGUAGUGGGGGAUAACGUUCCGAAAGGAACGCUAAUACCGCAUACGUCCUACGGGAGAAAGCAGGGGACCUUCGGGCCUUGCGCUAUCAGAUGAGCCUAGGUCGGAUUAGCUAGUUGGUGAGGUAAUGGCUCGCCAAGGCGACGAU